AUGUGUGGCCAAAUCUCCUUGUCAAAGCCUGAUCUUGUCAGGUCUCAGAAGCUAAGCAGGGCUGGGCCUGGUUAGUAUUUGGAUGGGAGAGCUCCUGGUGCCACAGUGG
rnacentral:rRNA from 1 species